UACGGAGGGUGCAAGCGUUAUCCGGAUUCACUGGGUUUAAAGGGUGCGUAGGCGGGUUGGUAAGUCCGUGGUGAAAUCCCCAAGCUUAACUUGGGAACUGCCGUGGAUACUAUCAAUCUUGAAUAUCGUGGAGGUAAGCGGAAUAUGUCAUGUAGCGGUGAAAUGCUUAGAUAUGACAUAGAACACCAAUUGCGGAGGCAGCUUACUACACGAUCAUUGACGCUGAGGCACGAAAGCGUGGGGAGCAAACAGG
rnacentral:rRNA from 1 species